rnacentral:rRNA from 1 species
UACGGAGGGAGCAAGCGUUGUCCGGAAUCACUGGGCGUAAAGGGCGCGUAGGCGGCCCGGUAAGUAGGGGGUGAAAUCCUGCGGCUUAACCGCAGGGCUGCCUUCUAAACUGUCGGGCUCGAGCACGGUAGAGGCAGAUGGAAUUCCCGGUGUAGCGGUGGAAUGCGUAGAGAUCGGGAAGAACAUCAGUGGCGAAGGCGGUCUGCUGGGCCGUUGCUGACGCUGAGGCGCGACAGCGUGGGGAGCAAACAGG